rnacentral:misc_RNA from 1 species
ACGAGUUUUGAAACAGGUUGUAGCUGGCCUUUAUAUCAAGGCAUGUGCACGCCUGGCUCAUCCACUCUCAAACCUCUGUGCACUUGUUGUAGGCAUGACUUUUCUGAGACCACCUGUGGGCUUUAGGAUAAUGUCAUGUCUAUGUUUUUACAAACGCUUCAGUGAAUGAAUGUCAAUCAUGUAUAACAUACAUAAUA